CCGGAGCCAGCAGCGGUAACCCUCUCAGGUCUGCAGUUUCAGUCCUGAGGCCAGCGGGACCAGGAACUCACCGGAAGGAACGAACAACUCCAGAUGUGCCACCUUUAAGAGCUGUAACACUCACCGUUAAGGCCUGCAGCUUCACUCCUGAAGUCAGCGAGACCAUGAGCCCACCAGAAAGAAGAAACCCAGGACACAUCUGAAAAUAUGAAGGAACAGACUCCAGACACACUAUCUUUAAGAACUGUAACACUCACUGCGAAGGUCCGCGGCAUCAUUCUUGAAUUCAGCGAGACCAAGAACCCACCAAUUCUGGACACAAUCACAAAAUUAAACCUCCUCAAAUAGAGAUUGACAGUAAAUGUAAUCUGUAUUUCUGUUCAUGCCAUCAUUGGUAGUGAAUUAUUUAAAUAUAUAAAACAUUGUCGAAUAACUCGUAACAGGACAAUUACCUAUCUAAUUUUUGCUCAUUAUAAAAUGAAAUGUAAUCUCCGUCUAAUAAUUUAAAUUGUUUUUACAAGCUGGUCUAACAGGAAUGUUUCUUAUUCUUCCAUAUGUUCUUAACAGACUUACUUUGUUUUUACUCUUUGUCAUCUUUAUAAAAUCACAAAUCUCUACAUUAUGUAUUUAUGCGAAACAUACACUUCUCUUGGAUUGUCAAAACGAACUUUCUCCCAUAAAAAACAU
rnacentral:lncRNA from 10 species